GGGCCAUGCCCCAGCAGUUCCCUUCCCACACUGCAUUAUUCAGUAAGCACAAAGCAAUAUGGCAGGUGUGAUCAUCAGAGCCCAGCUGGAACGGAAGCUUGUACAAUCAGGAACCUGUCCAGUUUAUUUCCAACCACGUUCCAUGCUCCACUAUUUACCACUCAUAUGGGAAAGUUGUUUAACAUCUGAGCCUCGUUUGUCUGAUCUGUUCACUCGACAGUGAAUUUUACUUAAAAGAUUUCCCAGUGUUCAAGAAGGUGCUGGCCAAUGGAAAAAAAAAAAGUCCCAAAUUUGUAGCAUUUGCCAAUUCCAGUGGUGUAAAUACUCGCACUGUGGGUGAUUCAAGCUACCCAGGAUGAUGGCGCUAAGGUUACAGUGAGUGCCUGGUUCAGUUGCAAGAAUGCCUUGUCCACCCUCCUCUGAGCCUUUGCUCAUGCCUUCCCCUCUACCUGAAACGCAUCCCUGUGGCUUCCCUAGGCUGGCUCCUCUUCAUUUGCAGACUUAAGCUCAAACCAUGUCCUCAGUCAGGUGCGGUGGCUCACGCACCUGUAAUCUCAGCACUUGGGGAGGCUGAGA